rnacentral:rRNA from 1 species
GACGAACGCUGGCGGCGUGCCUAAUACAUGCAAGUUGAGCGCUGAAGGUUGGUACUUGUACCAACUGGAUGAGCAGCGAACGGGUGAGUAACGCGUGGGGAAUCUGCCUUUUAGCGGGGGACAACAUUUGGAAACGAAUGCUAAUACCGCAUAAAAACUUUAAACACAAGUUUUAAGUUUGAAAGAUGCCAUUGCAUCACUCAAAGAUGAUCCCGCGUUGUAUUAGCUAGUUGGUGAGGUAAAGGCUCACCAAGGCGAUGAUACAUAGCCGACCUGAGAAGGUGAUCGGCCACAUUGGGACUGAGACACGGCCCAAACUCCUACGGGAGGCAGCAGUAGGGAAUCUUCGGCAAUGGACGAAAGUCUGACCGAGCAACGCCGCGUGAGUGAAGAAGGUUUUCGGAUCGUAAAACUCUGUUGGUAGAGAAGAACGUUGGUGAGAGUGGAAAGAUCAUCAAGUGACGGUAACUACCCAGAAAGGGACGGCUAACUACGUG